GCAGCGUCUGGGUUUCAGAGGAGCCAGCGCCUCCGAUAUAUCAGGUUGCCUUGGAAGUGAGUCUCUGCUAAACUACUCUUCUUCGGGCUGAAAGAUCUGAAUGCUGUGACCAUUAAUUUGUUGAACCAAGACUCUGAGGCUGAUAUGCAAUGUCACUUACAACAUUAAUCAGAUACUGCAUUUAAGGUGAGCUGUCCCUUGCCUCCUCCUU
rnacentral:lncRNA from 1 species